ACUUGAUUUCCGGUCCGGUUUCCCGCGGAGUUCCCCGCUUGGCGCUUGCUUGCGCGUCUUGGAGUACUAGUCGGGUUUCACCCCCAUCAGUUGGCGCCGUCUGUGACUCAAAGAUACUCACGACAAAAAGCUCCUCGACUUUUUCGAAAAAAGGGAUCGACUUUUUUCCAAGUCGCCAGCUAGGGAGUCUUGCGAGGAAAUCAGCCAGCAAGGGAUCAA
rnacentral:lncRNA from 1 species